GAUGAAGAACGUAGCGAAAUGCGAUAAGUAAUGCGAAUUGCAGAAUUCCAGUGAGUCAUCGAAUCUUUGAACGCACAUUGCGCCCUUUGGUAUUCCGAAGGGCAUGCCUGUUCGAGCGUCAUUAUCACCCCUCAAGCCCUCGGCUCGGUGUUGGACGGUUUGGUGGAGGCCCCCUCGGGGGUUCCUGCCCCUCCCAAAGACAAUGACGGCGGCCUCGUUGGACCCCCGGUACACUGAGUUCUUCACGGGACACGUAUCGGACACAUGGGUUUACGGGACACGGUCUGCCUCCCCUCAGGGAGAAUCUUUCUAAGGUUGACCUCGGAUCAGGUAGGGAUACCCGCUGAACUUAAGCAUAUCAAUAAGCGGAGGA
rnacentral:misc_RNA from 1 species